rnacentral:rRNA from 1 species
UACAUGGGGUGCAAACGUUGCUCGGAAUUAUUGGGCGUAAAGCGCGCGUAGGCGGUUACUCAAGUCGGAUGUGAAAGCCCUCGGCUUAACUGAGGAAGUGCACCCGAAACUGAGUAGCUAGAGUACCAAAGAGGGUCGCGGAAUUCCCGGUGUAGAGGUGAAAUUCGUAGAUAUCGGGAGGAACACCGGUGGCGAAGGCGGCGACCUGGGUGGAUACUGACGCUGAGGCACGAAAGCGUGGGGAGCAAACAGG